UAAUGAUGGUGAGGCAAUUUUUGAGCAUACCCUUAAAUCUCUCCCAAGCUUGGUAGAGAUUCUCUCUUUCUUUUUGUUUGAAACUCAAGAUUUUUCUUCUUAAGCA
rfam:Capsicum annuum cultivar Zunla-1 chromosome 1, whole genome shotgun sequence